GAUGAACGCUGGCGGCGUGCCUAAUACAUGCAAGUCGAGCGAACAGACGAGGAGCUUGCUCCUCUGACGUUAGCGGCGGACGGGUGAGUAACACGUGGAUAACCUACCUAUAAGACUGGGAUAACUUCGGGAAACCGGAGCUAAUACCGGAUAAUAUAUUGAACCGCAUGGUUCAAUAGUGAAAGACGGUUUUGCUGUCACUUAUAGAUGGAUCCGCGCCGCAUUAGCUAGUUGGUAAGGUAACGGCUUACCAAGGCGACGAUGCGUAGCCGACCUGAGGGGGUGAUCGGCCACACUGGAACUGAGACACGGUCCAGACUCCUACGGGAGGCAGCAGUAGGGAAUCUUCCGCAAUGGGCGAAAGCCUGACGGAGCAACGCCGCGUGAGUGAUGAAGGUCUUCGGAUCGUAAAACUCUGUUAUUAGGGAAGAACAAAUGUGUAAGUAACUAUGCACGUCUUGACGGUACCUAAUCAAAAAGCCACGGCUAACUACGUG
rnacentral:rRNA from 1 species